ensembl:lncRNA
GUGCAGGUGGUCUUUUGAAGGCCACAGUUCUACUUCCAGCUGACAUCCAUAAGUGUAUUAGUCAGUCCUGCUGAAAUGUGAGUCCUACUUCUCAUUCUUCCUCCUACCAUUGUCUCUUUCCUUUCUUGGUCCCAGCCAUAUCAUCCUAUUUAUUUUUGUGAUAGGUUAGUUUUCAGCAAGGUUAGGUCAACUCGCAGAAAAGACCUGUGGGCACCAAAGUCAGCAUAUGGAACAGGACAGAAAUCUGAGCCUGGCUCAGGAGUUUGUCAUCCAGAUUUCUACUCUUUGAGCACAGACACUAUCGGAGGAGACAGACAGUCUCCCAGGACAGUUAGGUCCUGUCUGCACUAUGCAAGCAACUAAAGGAGAGGAGAUCUCUUUCUUUCCUUCUCAUCCUUCCCACCACUCUAAAAAUCUAGAAGAGCAGUCAUCUGCAUUCUGCAUUCAUCUCAGUGUCGAGAGGAAAAAACAUUGCAACGAUUUUUCUGGAUUGGAAAAAACUCUUUCUCCCUACUUGGAUGGUAAAGCUGCUGUUACCAAGUGCCUAUGCUACUGCCAGCAAUAUGUCUCAGCCAGGGGCACAGGUUGCUCAGUUUUCAUCAAAGCAGCAGAGGGAAAUGGCUAUGUGGAGCAUGCUUUGCAGUUGCCUGCUGAAACCUCUGAGACUGGCUCUGAAUUUCCUGCUUUGAAACGUUUUGCUGCCAUAGUGCAACGGUUCAUGAAGCACAAUAACACUUCUCUUCUGGCCUCCAGGACACUCUCUCAUAUGGGCAGGAUGUGGCUCCCUGUGUUCCGUCUCCUCCUAGUUAUUUGUUUGUGUAAUGAAAUCUUCCACACUGACAUAGCAUUCUUGCAUGCUUUUAUAUAAGACAAACUACUUGUUUGAAAUAUCAUCAGUCCCUUGAAUUGCAAUGUAUAUGCUCUCCUUGUGUCUUUGUUGGUACUGCCUCUGCAAUACCAUAAAACAUUUAGAGAGGUGUUAUUCUGCUAAUGUGUACUGCAGUUGUGGCUGGAGCUGGGUUACAUUUUUCUGUAGUAAUUAACUGAGAAUUUUAGUUUGUACAUAGUGGUGGAUUAAACGGGAUGAUCAAAACGGGGGUCUCAUCUCAUAUGACCAAAUGCUUAGCAUUCAUGUUGGAGGUUGCUCCUCGUAGCAGAGUACUCUGAAUAGCUCAUGAAUCAAGCCUUGAAACUAGUUCGCAUUAGCAAACUGUCUGUAGGCCCUGCAGCAGCUCCAGAUCUGCUCCAAGAGCAGCCCAGCUACCCCUGAGGGCAGCACCCCUUCUAGAAAGGAUAAGGCAGAUGACAGAGCAUAAUGCAUGUUUCACGUGUCUGACUUCAAUACCCUACCAUGUGUGAGUAAGAACCCUUAGAUAUUUUACGGGGAGGAAAAAAAAAAAAAAGACAAUUAUUUAUGUACCAAAUAGCUACUAGAAGGGCUUUUGUUAUUCUGACUGAGUACAAUGUAUGUGAAAAGCAGAAAGAAUCAGCAUGAGAAAAAGAUACUAGAGACCAGCAUAGGUGAGCAGGAGAUGAAAGAAAGAAAAAGAUGAAGGCGGUAAAGGUGAGGCGGAAUGAGGCAGUAGCUACGAUGUCCUCUGCAAGUAUAUGUGAACCUGGUCUGUGUUCCAAAUCCUCUGGCUCGGUAGGACACUACUAAAGGUUGUUGUUUUUUUAACGCAGUCAAAAGUCUAUCAUUUGGAGAAGAGGUUGAUGCAUUUUGCCACCUCUGAACAAGCAUAAGCAGAAGUCAUCCUCUGUCAGUAGAAGUGAGCAAAAAUAACCUCUCAUGAGUGGUGGUUAAACGUCUUAGUC